rnacentral:rRNA from 1 species
CCUACGGGAGGCUGCAGUGGGGAAUAUUGGACAAUGGGGGGAACCCUGAUCCAGCGACGCCGCGUGGGGGAAUGAAGGUCUUCGGAUUGUAAACCCCUGUCAUGUGGGAGCAAAUUAAAAAGAUAGUACCACAAGAGGAAGAGACGGCUAACUCUGUGCCAGUAGCCGCGGUAAUACAGAGGUCUCAAGCGUUGUUCGGAAUCACUGGGCGUAAAGCGUGUGUAGGCUGUUUCGUAAGUCGUGUGUGAAAGGCGGGGGCUCAACCCGCGGACGGCACAUGAUACUGCGAGACUAGAGUAAUGGAGGGGGAACUGGAAUUCUCGGUGUAGCAGUGAAAUGCGUAGAUAUCGAGAGGAACACUCGUGGCGAAGGCGGGUUCCUGGACAUUAACUGACGCUGAGGCACGAAGGCCAGGGGAGCGAAAGGGAUUAGAUACCCUAGUAGUC